AUUGCAGGCUGCAACCCGCCCUGCAUGAAGUCGGAAUUGCUAGUAAUCGCGGAUCAGCAUGCCGCGGUGAAUACGUUCCCGGGCCUUGUACACACCGCCCGUCACACCAUGGGAGCCGGUAAUACCCGAAGUCAGUAGUCCAACCUCGUGAGGACGCUGCCGAAGGUAGGAUUGGCGACUGGGGUGAAGUCGUAACAAGGUAUC
rnacentral:rRNA from 1 species